AUGGCCUCUGGGCUGAGCUGGCUUCUCCUGGUGGCUGUGUUAGGAGGGGUCCAGUGUGAGGUGCAGCUGGUGGAGUCUGGGGGAGACUUGGUGCAGCCUGGGAGGUCCCUGAGACUCUCUUGUACAGCCUCUGGAUUUAAUUUUGGCAACUAUUAUAUGAGCUGGGUCCGCCAGGCUCCAGGGAAGGGCCUAGAGUGGAUUUCAUAUAUCAGUGGUAGUGGUGAUGCUAUAAGCUAUGUCGACUCUGUGAAGGGCCGAUUCGUCACCUCCACAGACAACAGCAAGAACACACUCCAUCUGCAAAUGAGCAGCCUGAGGGAGGAGGACACGGCCCUGUACUACUGUGUGAGAAACACAGUGAGGGGAAGGCCCUGUGGGCCCAGACAAAAACCACCUACAGGAGGAAGCAGGGUGAGCUUCAGGGGCACAGGCCCCCAGGAGGCUCUGAGGACUCCACCUGAGGAAACGUUGCUCAUGACUAGACAAAUCAUGUUUCUGUGGAGAUCAGGACUGAACUGCCCCUAA